AGGAGCAACCAUAGCAGCACUAAUGCACUGGAUUCCAUCAGAACUCCGCAGUUAAGCAUGCUUGGGCGAGAAUAGUUCUAAGAUGUCUUAUGACUUUCA
rnacentral:rRNA from 1 species